rnacentral:misc_RNA from 1 species
GGAAAAAUUAACAACACUAUGUAGGGGCAGCCUAAUCAGUAGAUAAAUUCUAAUUACCACAAUCACAAUAUAAUUUGAUAACAUAAAAUCAAUGGUAUGAAUUUUAAAGCAUUAACUUAAAAUCAAAUCCCUUCUUACCUAUAAUAUCCCAAAAAUGAUCUAAGCAAGGCGAAAUACGCCUAAAAUCUGAUUGAACUAAAACACUACAGUUG